rnacentral:rRNA from 1 species
GGGUGAAAGGCCAAUCAAACCGGGAGAUAGCUGGUUCUCCCCGAAAGCUAUUUAGGUAGCGCCUCGUGAAUUCAUCUCCGGGGGUAGAGCACUGUUUCGGCUAGGGGGCCAUCCCGGCUUACCAACCCGAUGCAAACUGCGAAUACCGGAGAAUGUUAUCACGGGAGACACACGGCGGGUGCUAACGUCCGUCGUGAAGAGGGAAACAACCCAGACCGCCAGCUAAGGUCCCAAAGUCAUGGUUAAGUGGGAAACGAUGUGGGAAGGCCCAGACAGCCAGGAUGUUGGCUUAGAAGCAGCCAUCAUUUAAAGAAAGCGUAAUAGCUCACUGGUCGAGUCGGCCUGCGCGGAAGAUGUAACGGGGCUAAACCAUGCACCGAAGCUGCGGCAGCGACGCUGAUGCGUUGUUGGGUAGGGGAGCGUUCUGUAAGCCUGUGAAGGUGGCCUGUGAGGGUUGCUGGAGGUAUCAGAAGUGCGAAUGCUGACAUAAGUAACGAUAAAGCGGGUGAAAAGCCCGCUCGCCGGAAGACCAAGGGUUCCUGUCCAACGUUAAUCGGGGCAGGGUGAGUCGACCCCUAAGGCGAGGCCGAAAGGCGUAGUCGAUGGGAAACGGGUUAAUAUUCCCGUACUUGGUGUUACUGCGAAGGGGGGACGGAGAAGGCUAUGUUGGCCGGGCGACGGUUGUCCCGGUUUAAGCGUGUAGGUGUGUGUUCCAGGUAAAUCCGGUUCACUUUAACACUGAGGCGUGAUGACGAGGCACUACGGUGCUGAAGCAACAAAUGCCCUGCUUCCAGGAAAAGCCUCUAAGCAUCAGGUAACAUCAAAUCGUACCCCAAACCGACACAGGUGGUCAGGUAGAGAAUACCAAGGCGCUUGAGAGAACUCGGGUGAAGGAACUAGGCAAAAUGGUGCCGUAACUUCGGGAGAAGGCACGCUGACAC